AACGCACCUUGCGCCCUUUGGUAUUCCGAAGGGCAUGCCUGUUUGAGUGUCAUUAAAUUCUCAACUUCAAAUUUCUAUUUUGAAGCUUGGAUGUUGGAGGCUUUGCAGACAUUUAUAUUUGCCAGCUCCUCUUAAAUGCAUUAGCAGAACUUGUAUGUUCGGCUCUGGUUUGAUAAUACUAUCUAUGCCAUUGCUGAAAGGUCACUGUUCAGCUUCUAAUGGUCCAUUGUAUUGGACUGUCUCUUUGGGGGCAUCACCUUUUGACUUGACCUCAAAUCAGGUAGGACUACCCGCUGAACUUAA
rnacentral:misc_RNA from 1 species